CAGCACCUCAAGUGGUCAGGAUGAUUAUUGGGCCUAAAGCAUCCGUAGCCGGCGCUGUAAGUUUUCGGUUAAAUCUGUACGCUCAACGUACAUGCUGCCGGGAAUACUGCAGCGCUAGGGAGUGGGAGAGGUAGACGGUACUCGGUAGGAAGGGGUAAAAUCCUUUGAUCUAUUGAUGACCACCUGUGGCGACGGCGGUCUACCAGAACACGUCCGACGGUGAGGGAUGAAAGCUGGGGGAGCAAACCGGAUUAGAGACCCGAGUAGUCC
rnacentral:rRNA from 1 species